CCUACGGGAGGCUGCAGUGAGGAAUAUUGGUCAAUGGACGAGAGUCUGAACCAGCCAAGUAGCGUGAAGGAUGACUGCCCUAUGGGUUGUAAACUUCUUUUAUAAAGGAAUAAAACGAGGCACGUGUGCCUUUUUGCAUGUACUUUAUGAAUAAGGAUCGGCUAACUCCGUGCCAGCAGCCGCGGUAAUACGGAGGAUCCGAGCGUUAUCCGGAUUUAUUGGGUUUAAAGGGAGCGUAGAUGGGAUGUUAAGUCAGGUGUGAAAGUUUGCGGCUCAACCGUAAAAUUGCAAUUGAUACUGGCAGUCUUGAGUGCAGUUGAGGUAAGCGGAAUUCGUGGUGUAGCGGUGAAAUGCUUAGAUAUCACGAAGAACUCCGAUUGCGAAGGCAGCUUACUAAACUGUGACUGACAUUGAUGCUCGAAAGUGUGGGUAUCGAACAGGAUUAGAUACCCUAGUAGUC
rnacentral:rRNA from 1 species